GACGAACGCUGGCGGCGCGCCUAACACAUGCAAGUCGAACGAGCGAGAGAGAGCUUGCUUUCUCGAGCGAGUGGCGAACGGGUGAGUAACGCGUGAGGAACCUGCCUCAAAGAGGGGGACAACAGUUGGAAACGACUGCUAAUACCGCAUAAGCCCACGGCUCGGCAUCGAGCAGGGGGAAAAGGAGCAAUCCGCUUUGAGAUGGCCUCGCGUCCGAUUAGCUAGUUGGUGGGGUAACGGCCCACCAAGGCGACGAUCGGUAGCCGGACUGAGAGGUUGAACGGCCACAUUGGGACUGAGACACGGCCCAGACUCCUACGGGAGGCAGCAGUGGGGAAUAUUGCACAAUGGGGGAAACCCUAAUGCAGCGACGCCGCGUGGAGGAAGAAGGUCUUCGGAUUGUAAACUCCUGUUGUUGGGGAAGAUAAUGACGGUACCCAACAAGGAAGUGACGGCUAACUACGUG
rnacentral:rRNA from 1 species